UACGUAGGGAGCAAGCGUUGUCCGGAUUUAUUGGGCGUAAAGAGCUCGUAGGCGGCUUAGAAAGUCAGGUGUGAAAACUCUGGGCUCAACCCAGAGACGCCACUUGAUACUUCUAUGGCUUGAGUUCGGUAGGGGACCAUGGAAUUCCUGGUGUAGCGGUGAAAUGCGCAGAUAUCAGGAGGAACACCGAUGGCGAAGGCAGUGGUCUGGGCCGAUACUGACGCUGAGGAGCGAAAGCGUGGGGAGCAAACAGG
rnacentral:rRNA from 1 species